rnacentral:rRNA from 1 species
GACGAACGCUGGCGGCGUGCUUAACACAUGCAAGUCGAACGGAAAGGCCCUGCUUUUGUGGGGUGCUCGAGUGGCGAACGGGUGAGUAACACGUGAGUAACCUGCCCUUGACUUUGGGAUAACUUCAGGAAACUGGGGCUAAUACCGGAUAGGAGCUCCUGCUGCAUGGUGGGGGUUGGAAAGUUUCGGCGGUUGGGGAUGGACUCGCGGCUUAUCAGCUUGUUGGUGGGGUAGUGGCUUACCAAGGCUUUGUCGGGUAGCCGGCCUGAGAGGGUGACCGGCCACAUUGGGACUGAGAUACAGCCCAGACUCCUACGGGAGGCAGCAGUGGGGAAUAUUGCACAAUGGGCGGAAGCCUGAUGCAGCAACGCCGCGUGCGGGAUGACGGCCUUCGGGUUGUAAACCGCCUUCGCCUGUGACGAAGCGUGAGUGACGGUAAUGGGUAAAGAAGCACCGGCUAACUACGUG